UACGUAGGGUGCAAGCGUUAAUCGGAAUUACUGGGCGUAAAGCGUGCGCAGGCGGUGAUGUAAGACAGAUGUGAAAUCCCCGGGCUCAACCUGGGAACUGCAUUUGUGACUGCAUCGCUGGAGUGCGGCAGAGGGGAUGGAAUUCCGCGUGUAGCAGUGAAAUGCGUAGAUAUGCGGAGGAACACCGAUGGCGAAGGCAAUCCCCUGGGCCUGCACUGACGCUCAUGCACGAAAGCGUGGGGGCAAACAGG
rnacentral:rRNA from 1 species